GACACCAUAACUGAGUGGCUUGGUAACAGACAAGAAAUCUGUUCCCUUUGAGAAAGCAGACAAAAAAUCUGCACCUUGAAAGUGCAGGUUCGAAUCCUGUUGGUGUUU